GACGAACCGUGCGAACGUUAUUCGGAAUCACUGGGCUUAAAGGGCGCGUAGGCGGGCGGCCAAGUCAGGGGUGAAAGCCCCCAGCUCAACUGGGGAAGUGCCUUUGAUACUGGUCAUCUCGAGCGAGGUAGGGGCGUGCGGAACUUCCGGUGGAGCGGUGAAAUGCGUAGAUAUCGGAAGGAACACCGGUGGCGAAAGCGGCGCGCUGGACCUCUUCUGACGCUGAGGCGCGAAAGCCAGGGGAGCAAACGGG
rnacentral:rRNA from 1 species